rnacentral:rRNA from 1 species
AUGGCUCCCCGCCUGCAUGGGGAUGAGGGGCCCCGCCCGAAGAGGCCGUUGGAGCGCCCUGAGUCCUCUCGCCCUCCGCGCGGCCCUCCCAUGCCGGUUAGGGACGGUGCCCGACGGGGGGCCGACAACCGCCGGCUCGCUGACCGGGAUGACUGGGCCGCUCCCCGCAGAGCUUGGGCGGUCGCUCUCUACCGGCCGCCCCCCACUCGUGAGGGCACCCAUGACGGCCGCCGCGACGCGCGACUCCCUCUGCCUGGUUCCCAGGGGGCGCGACGCCGGGAGGAGGCCGGGCGGCUGCGUGAAGACAACCAGCGACGCAAAGAUGAACUCCACUCUGAGCUGCAGCGCCGGCCUGUGUACUCCGCCCCUAGCCGACCCGGUCCGGAGGUGGGUCAGAGCUCGUGCCAAGGCGCCCGGAGUUCCGCGGGUUCGGAUGACCGUGCUCGGUAUGGAUCUGAGGAGCCGGACAGUGCGGACUUGCUCAAUUGGCAUAGGUCCUCGUCCUGGUCGCCGCGGUACACCCCCCGUUGCACCUCGGAGGAGGCUCCGGGUCCAGUUGGGCCGUCGACAAAGCAGAAGAAGAAGCACUCGGGUGGGCUCAGUGGUCCUACCAUCAUGGAUGGAUCGGGGAGGUCGGCCGUCGGGGAGCCGAAGCAGGAGGCCCCGAUGAUUCCCCCGGCCAGAGCCAGUCGCGCCCGGACCCAUGACGAGACGUUGUGCAUCAACUGUGGGUGUGUCGGUCACUUCCGUUCGGAGUGCUUGGCGCCCUCCCGGUGCCCUACCACUCUUGCCUACCUGGGGUACGGGGUGGAGGGGGGUGGCUUCUACUAUGUGGACGCGACCCUGGAGGACGAACCCGUCCGGCCGCACCUAGCGACGAUCACCCUCGUCCCGGACCAGCAGCCACCGCCGUCGGUUGUGGUUACCGCUGAGAUUAUACGAGCGGAACUGUCAGCGUACAUUGGCGAUUACAGAGACAACGCCUUCUCUUGGAAAGUCACUGAGACAGCAUCGAUGGUCUACUCAGUACCCUUCCCUUCUGCUGAGAUGCUCAAUGUCUGCAGCCACGACCACGUCAAGUGCCCCAUCAACAAGUUCAUGAUCUCAAUCCAGAAGGCUGAUGCUGAGCCGGACACGGUGGCCCCCCUUGCCCAGGUGUGGAUGCUCGUCUACGGGCUCCCGGGUGGGGGCAAGCGCGAGCACAUUCUCAAGGCCAUCUCGGAGCCGGUGGGCAAGAUUCUGACGGUCGAUCUGGAUUCCUUGGAGGGCGAUGGCCCGGCGCGCGUCGAGCUCCUUUGUCAGGCUCCAGCUGAUGUGGACGGACUGUCCCUAAUCUUCUACUUCAGCAAGAACAAGGGCAAGUGUAUCACCUACAAGAUCGACCAAGAUCCACUGGAGGGGCGACCGGAGGACGAGCCGCCAGCACCGCCGCCAGCUCCACCGGCGGCGGGACGGGACAACGAGGAUAGCCAGUCUGUGGACAGCUCCGCGAAGUCGGGGGGUGGGCUUCCGCCGACGGCGUCGACCGAGAGCCGUCGCGCGCCAGUUUCGGCUGGUAUGGAGGGCGCUGGACUGCCGGGUGGCUCCACCCUCACCCUUUCUGUUGUAGCGGCAUCUUCGCUGGUUCCUGAGCUGGAGGAGGAGACCCUGAGUGCUAGGCUGGAUGUUCGCCCGCCGUCCCUGCCGCGCUCCCCUGGGGUGGUGUGCUACUCUCGCUCGCACCGACUCCCCCGUGGCUAG